CAGGCAUAAAACGAUGAAAAAACAGUAAUUGUCCAGACUUCAAAAGAUGACAAAAAUAAGAAUUGAUGCCAAAAAUAAAAAGAAAAAAGUAUAACGAACACCUGUAUCCGAAAAGUAAACAGAAACAAAACUUUGGCUGUUGAGGUUCAUUACAGAAAAAAUACAGAUAAGUCAGUCAUACAAGCAAACUUCGGUUGGCUAUGAGACACAUGAUCAACAAGAUAAAAGUGGUCUAAGACCAGCCCAAGGAAAUAAAUAUUAUCAACUCUGUAAAGGAAGUAGAGAAAUGGAUUGUCAUUCAUUAGAUCAAUAAUGCUGAAACAAAAGGCACAGACAUAAAAAGAUGAAAAAGCAGCGAUUGUCCAGAUUCCAAAAGAUAACCAUAUUAAUUGAUGCCAAAAAUAAAAAUAAAAAUGUAUAAUGAACACCUGUAUCCAAAAAGUAAACAGAAACAAAACCUUGGUGGUUGAGGUUCAUUACAGAGAAAGUACAGAUAAGUCAGUUAUAUAAGCAAACUACCAUCGGCUAUGAGACACGUGAUCAACAAGAUACAAGUGGUCUAAGACCAGCUCAAGAAAAUAAAUAUUAUAACUAUGUAAAGAAAGUAAAGAAAUGGACUGGCAUUCAUUAUAUCAAUAAUGCUGAAACAAAAGGCACAGGCAUAAAACGAUGAAGCAGUAAUUGUACAGACUUCAACAGAUGACAACCAUAAGAAUUGAUGCCAAAACUAAAAAAAAGAAGAAAAAAAAGUAUAAUCAACAAUUGUAUCUGGAAAAUAAGCAGAAACGAAACUUUGGUGGUUGAGGUUCAUUACAUAGAAACUACAGAUAAUCAGUUAUAUAAGCAAACUAUGGUCGGCUAUGAGACACAUGAUCAACAAGAUAAAAGUGGUCUAAGACCAGCCCAAGGAAAUAAAUAUUAUCCACUCUGUAAAAAAAAGUAAAGAAAUAGAUUGUCAUUCAUUAUAUCAAUAAUGUUGAAACAAAAGGCACAGGCAUAAAACAACGAAAAAGCAGUAAUUGUCAAGAUCUCAAAAGAUGACAACCAAAAGUAAACAGAAACAAAACUUCGGUGGUUUAGGUUCGUUACAGAGAAACUACAGUUAUAUAACCAAACUAUGGUCAGCCAUGAGACAUGUGAUCAACAAGAUAAAAGUGGUCUAAGACCAGCUCUGUCAUGACUAGGGCCUGAUGGGCUAACUGACCUAUCAACUUCGUUUGGUCUAAACCAUUGAUCAAAAUGCUUGAGCUGAAGUUGAUAGUAGUACACUCAUCAGACCCUUAUAAGCCAAUCUUAAUCUUGCCCACUUUCGAUGUGGGACUAAUCAGGGGUGUUACAAGCCCAAGGAAAAAAAAAGUUUAUCCAUUCUGUAAAUAAAGUAAAGAAAUGGAUUGCCAUUCAUUAGACCACUAAUGCUUAAACAAAAGGCACAGGCAUAAAUUAUUAUUAGAGAAACAGCAUGGCCCUAAAAACAAGAAUUCCCAUAUGUCAAGAAACAAACAAGGUAAUGAAUCAGAUACCAAAAGUAGAGUUCUACCCAUUAAAUAGGUCAAUCAAGAGGAGGGUAAUCAGGCAAUCUGACAACAGCAAGCACUUAUACGUAAAGUUAAAUGAAGGCUCAGUUGCGAAACAAUACAAUAAUAUCUUGAAGCUAAAAAGAGAGGUUAUUAAAGCAUUCAAGUAAAAUAAGGAAACACAGCUAUACCAAACAUAGAGUACACAUGUAACACAAUUUUUUUCAAGUGUCACUUGGCACACCAGACUUCACCUAGGGAAAGAGGACUAACACAGAGGGUGAAAAGGCGCACAAGACACCAUGGCCAGGAUUUAAAUCCUUGACCUAAGAUAAGGGACUUUGUAUACACACAGCCAGCAGGGACGUUGUUGGUUGGGCAUAGGAACACAUAACUUUACUGACAUAAAUCUGUACAGAUUUUUGUAUCUAACUUGUCUUAAAGUGGGUGGACUGGUAAGUUUGAAUUCUGGAGGUAUCAGUUACCAACCUACAAGUUGAUUUAUAUAGGUCUGCUACCAUUUGAAACUGGUAGGCACUAGGAAAAAGAAAAUGAAACUGUCCUCAAAACAAACAAGCAUUUAAACCAUUUUACAGCAUAGCUUCCUCCACCAGAACUAUUCUUAUGACACUAACCAUCCAUUAUUUGGUUCCAUAAAAUUUAAUUGCCUAUAGUCGCUUUAUGAUCUUUUCCUAUCAGUCAGAAGAAGAUUAGAAUUAAGAAUGUUGUUUUCUCUAUUUAUAGAUUUUAAGCAUAGAAAUUUUAUUCUUUAUAUAACUUGUCUUGUCUAUUUUAACUACUAAAGCUAUGCAUUCAGAUUCAAGCCAAUUUCAAACUUGUAGUAAUGGUAAUGCAAAGUAUAUACCGGUACUAAUUUCAGAACCCUCGGCUUCUGAAUAUUGUCUCCACUGUAGAAACUUGGAACUUAUUUCUGGUCUAUUUUCAUUAACAAGAAGAAAAGUAUCAUUGAUACAUAAUGUCAACACAAAACUUCCAAGUCCAUCCAUCACAAGUGCGCAUAUGCAGUGGUAAUGCAGACUCAGCAUAAAUUAUAUUCGUCCUUACACUUCAUAAACUAGUGACUGCCCGGACAUAAAAUCCUUGACUUUUAUCAAAAUACAAAAUAGGGGGUCCUCUCCUUUCGUAACCAACCACCAACAAUUGAUGUUAGUAAAUAAACAACACGAUUGAUCUUGGCAUAGAGGCAGAGCUGUUUCAAGAAAAUACUUUGACUGAUCUUGGCAUUGAUUAUGCAUAAAGACGGCCACAUAAAGUACCCACGAGAUUGCUCACCAGCUCUUUU
rnacentral:lncRNA from 1 species